AUUGCUACUGGCGAACAAAGACAUACACAACAUCAAAAGUUAAGCUAAUUUAAAUUAGGUCAGAUGUUUCUGAAGCAGGCUGGGAUGAAAAAAAAAAGACUGGCAGCGUCUAAUAGCUACUUGGGGAGGCGGUUCCUGGUCAACUCUUCUAUCCCUGAAGCUGUCAUAGUCACUUUUUUAAAUUAAGGCGAUGGCCACUGUGGUUGUACAGGUUUGGCGGGGGCUGGCGCUGCUGAGUGAGACAGAACCUACGGUCAGUUACAUGGGCUGGCUGGCGGCCUCGGCUCAUGGAUAAAGGGGGGCCCUGCAAUCGGUUGUUUGUAAACCCAGGCUGAAUGUUGUCCAAUGUUGAGCCUUCUGAGGAUGAGUUGUGUGGGUCUGAUGAUGAGCUUGAGGUUGAUCUGUUGAGAGCAAGACAAAAAAAAAUGUUUCAUUGACAUAAAGAUUGUUUCAUUGACAUAAAGAUUGUUUCACUGACAUAAAGAUUGAUUAUUAACAUAAAGAUUAUUUCAUUAACAUGAAGAUUGUUUCAUUGACAAAAUUUCAUCAGUAGCUGAAUGAAACAAACUAAAGCGUUUCUUUUAGGAUUUCUAAUUUAAUUUAAUGAAAAAAAAGUAUUUCUGCUUAUUUCCCCUUAAUUCUACAAAAGUUCUGGUCAGAAAUGUCAACAAAGAAGAGGUGCAGCGAGUCGAGCGUGAGAAACGAGAGAAGGCAAAAGAAGAUCAAGAGAAGAAGAAGGAGAAGGACAAGCAGGACAGACAAGCCCAGAAACAGAAGCAACAGGAGAGAAAAGAAGCAGAGAAGAAGAGAACGUCCAAGGGAGAAAAGAGGAGAUAGCAUCUCCGGCGCUGGGUUUAGUUGUAUAAUACGAAAAAAAACUUACAUAAUUUAUUUAAACCAUUGUCCUUCAAGUGCGGUAACUUUGUGUCUUUUACAUCAAAAGAAUUUUUUUUUUUUUAGGGUGGAAGGUGUCGCUGGAGGAAGGGAAAGGGAGUUUUUUUUUUUUUAAGCAAUGGGUUUAACUCUUUUUUAUUGUUGUGUGCUUAUGGCCCGGCUUGAAAAAGAGAUACAAAAGGGUGUAUCGGCAGAAGUGUUCUGUGAAUGAGAUCUUUAUUUUUACUCAGUGGUGCUUUUUUUUUCUUGACUCCAAACGAGGAGCUUAUUAUUAUUAUUUUAGGGCAUCAUCAGCAUUCAUAAUAAGAACGAAUGAACUGAAUGACAAUUAUGAACGCUGGACACGUUAUACUUCUAUCGGUUUUAGCUGUAGUCAAAUAAACCAUUGUUCUAGAAAGUCAUACCGGCAACUUUUUCCUUUGGUUACAUUAACGAAAUUUUUAACUACUGGUACUUUUUUUUAAAUCUCCAUUUUUCUACGCUUUCUUCCUGUCUCUCAGUAUAUUCCCUCCGACCCUCUUUCUGCUGUCCACCCACCAUCCCACUAAUACAAGGCAUUAAUUUCUUGAGGAUAGUCAAAUGGGAUGUUUGGUCUUAUCUCUUGUUCCACAUCAGCUCGGGCUAAUAAAUUAUGUCCUGGCGAUGGUGAUGCAUCACCUUGUUAAAGGCAUGAGCUCAGUCGCCAGCACUUUAGUGUUUCUGAAAUGAAACAUUUUCCUCACUUAACGUUUGUAUCUGUGUCCUCAACAAGAUGCAAUGUCUUUCAUGUGUUUUCUCUGUUAAACAAACGUAGUCAAGCUGUGCCAGACCUGUAUUCAACCUUGGGUUACAGGGCAUUGAUGAGAAUUAUUACUGGUACUUUUUACUUCAUGUCUAAACACCAUCAAGGAGAACAGAUUAACAUGGUGAUUUUUUUGUUAUAGUUGCUAUGCAAAUUUAAAAAAUGUGAAUAUUUUUACCUGCAUUAUAAUAAAAUUAUUACUUUUUCUACUAAUUAAUUUUAUAAACCUAAUCAUCGUUCUCUAUUAAUUUAUUUUAUAAAUCCCUCUACUAGUUGAUCAUACACCGGUAACUUUCACUUUUGGUUAAUCUUAUGACUUUGUUAGUUAAUCCUACUCUUGAUCUUAUAAAGUAGUUAAUCCUACAAUGAUCUGUUCUCUCUUAUGUUAUUUUACCAGAUUAUUUGAUAGUGUUUUUUUUUUCCUUUACAUUCACUCUCGUAGUUCUGGAGAGUUCUCACUUGCGCUAGUCAGUUGUAGCCUAGUUGUCGCACUACUAGACCGUUAUCAUACGGAAGCACUUUAAUCACAUGGCUAGGGAUGAAUGGUUUCAAAGCAGUUAUAGAGGAGCGUGUGAGCCUGAUUUAUACAUGUGUUUUUUUAUGAAGCUUGAAAGUGCACUUUAAGAGUGUGCACACUUGAUGAAUGGUGUGAAAUAACAUGUCUGGAUGAUCUACUUGUGUUUUUUUUAAUUGUGCAUAAAACCCAAAAACCUAGACAGUUUUUAUUUUUUUAAAGUUUUGUAUAGAUUCAUUAAUUCAAAAGGAUGAAUAUUAAUUAUUAUAUACGGCUAAAAUAGUUGUUUGAUGUUUGUACUAUCAUCUACUUUGUAAUGUCUUGAAAACUUGGAAUCUUAUGUUACUAAUGAUAUUUUUACUAUGUGGUGUGCACUCAUCACAAUGUCUACAAUGUGAAUCUAGAUAUAGAUUGAUCAGAAUACUCUUAAAAGGUGACAAGCAUUCGCAUAAUUAUCUUAAUUAUGGUUUUAAAUGCCUGCUUAAAUCAUUCAUUGGAAUAAAAAAAAAAAUUAAUUAGUGAAACAGAUUUAUGAUAAAAACCUGUUUGCCUGACAUGUGACUGCUAUGGUGUUUGUUUUUUUUUAAUUCAAAUAAACAAUUUUGAAGUCACAA